CAGGGAGGGGGUUGCCACCUGGGUCUCCCCGGGGGAUCACCCAGAGCCCUGCUUGUACUGAUCUCCCCUACUCCCUUACCAGUUGGUUUCUCUAGGAAGAAUUUUCGUAAUAAAUACUUGCCCUAAACCCUCCCCAUCUCAAGGUCUGUUUCUGGGCAACUCAACUGAAAAUGAAAGCAAACCAAGGAAGGAAAAGGGCCCAAGUGAGUGUAGGGGCACGAAAUCAGUGCACGGGGAAAGAAGAGGCUGUGCAGAGACACCGAAGCAAGGCAGACGGCAGCCCGGCGUCCUUAGGAGUCUCCUAGUUCAGACCGUUCCAGGUAUGGGGUAUGGACCUGGGGGGUAGGGAGCCUUGAUUCUGACAAGCUGAUGAGAGAAAGUGUCCCACAGAGCCCAGAGGAGAAAAGAUCCUUUGUGAGGAUGUUUAGAAUCACAAAUGAGUGUGGGCAAAUUUUGAACUCCUUCAGGGACAUUCUCGUGACAGCGCAGGCAAACGGGAUGGACAGGAAGACCUGAUGUCAGGGAGGGCCCGGUUACCUGUAUUUUUCCCCGACAGGCUUCUGAGCACCAGGAAAACAGCAGUGUCUCACCCUUCACUACUGUGCUUCAUGGUCCCCAGAACACCCCACAGGACGGCAGGCUCUGCAUCGCUGGAGGGAGUCGAGAGAUGGUCUAGAAGGAGAAGGUUGACCUCUCUUUGCCUGAGGUGUCAGGUCUCCAAGGUGGAUUCUUGCCUCUCGCUUCCCCCAAUCCAGCACUGAGAACGGUGAGCUGUGGGCUUCUGGGGGGUCAGCACAGAGCCUGUGCGGAUUCAUGAGGGAAUGAAUGAGUGGCGUCCUCAAUCCGUGGGUUAGACGUGCCUAAUGCCUUUCCUGGUGCCCAGAUCCAAACCACCGUGGGAGAAUCACAUCAGUACGUGAGGCUGCUGCCAGGCUCGGAGAUGUUCUCCGCCGAGGUGAACUGGGGCAAGCACCCCUGUCAGCACACC
rnacentral:lncRNA from 1 species